ACGCUGGCGGCACGCCUAACACAUGCAAGUCGAACGAAGUAGCAAUACUUAGUGGCAGACGGGUGAGUAACAUGUAGGUAUCUGCCCUUUGGCCUGGAAUAACACGAGGAAACUUGUGCUAAUACCGGAUAAGUCUUUACAGAGAAAGCUUUAUGCACCAUUGGAUGAGCCUGCACUUGAUUAGUUUGUUGGUGGGGUAAUGGCCUACCAAGACUGUGAUCAAUAGCUGAUUUGAGAGGAUGAUCAGCCACAUUGGGACUGAGACACGGCCCAAACUCCUACGGGAGGCAGCAGUGGGGAAUCUUGCACAAUGGAGGAAACUCUGAUGCAGCGAUGCCGCGUGAGUGAAGAAGGCCCUUGGGUUGUAAAGCUCUUUCGUCGGGGAAGAAAAUGACUGUACCCGAAUAAGAAGGUCCGGCUAACUUCGUGCCAGCAGCCGCGGUAAUACGAAGGGACCUAGCGUAGUUCGGAAUUACUGGGCUUAAAGAGUUCGUAGGUGGUUGAAAAAGUUAGUGGUGAAAUCCCAGAGCUUAACUCUGGAACUGCCAUUAAAACUUUUCAGCUAGAGUAUGAUAGAGGAAAGCAGAAUUUCUAGUGUAGAGGUGAAAUUCGUAGAUAUUAGAAAGAAUACCAAUUGCGAAGGCAGCUUUCUGGAUCAUUACUGACACUGAGGAACGAAAGCAUGGGUAGCGAAGAGGAUUAGAUACCCUCGUAGUCCAUGCCGUAAACGAUGUGUGUUAGACGUUGGAAAUUUAUUUUCAGUGUCGCAGCGAAAGCGAUAAACACACCGCCUGGGGAGUACGACCGC
rnacentral:rRNA from 1 species